CAAACGCUGGCACCUGGAGAAAAGAAGGAAAGUAAAUGACUGAGGCAGAGCAUGGAGGGUGGGCCUUCGGGCAAAGCAAGCCUGGCUGGAGAGUGAGUGACAAGUGCUCAUCGACUGCGAGUUCUUCAGAAGCCAGAGAGGUGAUUCUCUUGCAAAUGGGAUUCAGGAGUGAGGAGGAAGCAAGCCAGUUCCCACAUCCCUGAGGGAAAAGGCAGGCAGAACUCCAAGAGGAAGGAAGUCAUCAGGGAGUCGGUGGGGCACUGGUAGUCACCUGACCCCCACAUCAUCUUCCCGUGGAUCAUCACGCAUGCAGCAGCUGCAACCCCCAGAGGCUUGUGGUCUGGCUGGUCUGGGACAGGCGGAUGCAAAGGUGGGGAUCCCCAGGCUGCCUCUAUCAAUGUGGAGCCCAGCCAGCAAGGGGAAUCGGGUUUCCUCAGCCCAGAGUUAAUGGCCAUGGCCCCAGCAGCAGGAGUAGUGGCUGCAGGGCACCUGCUCAGGACUGGCCUAUCUCCAGCUACAGGGCAGGAAGUGCUCCCCACCAGAUCACAAGCAUCUUGAUUUACUCAUCUCUAUGAUCCCAGUAUCCUGCUGAAUGAGUGAGAACUCCUGCCCCCAGCACUAGGGAGUGAGGGACAGAAGGCAACUAGACCUAAGCAAGGGACACAGAGGGAGGAAACAAGGCACCAGGUAGGAGGGUUUUCAAUGACCAAGAAUGGCCUCUAUCUCCUCUCCCCGCAUUACAUUUUAUGUUUCUGGAGGGCAGGUCCAUGGCUGAUUCAUCUGUGUCUCUACCACACCCAGUAGAUUACUUUGCAGAAAAUUAAUACUCAGUAAGUGUAGUUUAUUGGAGGUGUAACUGGAAGCCAGUACAUAGGAUGACAGAUGGCCUCUGCUUUUCAAGCCUGGGUCAUCUGGGAAAGGGGUAGUCCAGUCCUGCUGGUCUAGUGUCCUGACCAGGAUGGCCUUGGGAAGGGGGAGGGACUCUUCACCUGGCGCAUUCACAGAACGUGCCCUCCUCCCCAAACCCCACCCAGGCAACUAACUCUCCCUUCCUUAGCCAAUGAGAGACCAUUUAGGGGAAACCUCCUAGAUUUAGGUGUCUCCCUGGUGAUAGAAAUAGACUGGGUGUGCGGUGUAACAUCUUUUUCCUUGGGAAUCUGGGAGGUCUGUGAGCCAAGAAAAAGAAAAAUUCAGAGCAAUUCCCUCUUUAUUAAGAGUAAAUCUGCCGCUUUUGCCUGAA